GGAAUGCUGUCUGGUUCGAGACCAUUCAUUAAUUCAAACUAAGCUUAAUUUGAAGAUUGAGUUCAUUGUCCAUCUCCUCUUAAUUAGUGAUCUCGGACCAGGCUUCAUUCCCC
rnacentral:pre_miRNA from 1 species